UACGAAGGGGGCGAGCGUUGUUCGGAAUUACUGGGCGUAAAGGGCGCGUAGGCGGUCCUUCAAGUCAGGCGUGAAAGCCCCGGGCUCAACCUGGGAACCGCGCUUGUGACUGCAUGGCUAGAGUACGGUAGAGGGGGAUGGAAUUCCGCGUGUAGCAGUGAAAUGCGUAGAUAUGCGGAGGAACACCGAUGGCGAAGGCAAUCCCCUGGACCUGUACUGACGCUCAUGCACGAAAGCGUGGGGAGCAAACAGG
rnacentral:rRNA from 1 species